rnacentral:rRNA from 1 species
UGGGGAAUUUUGGACAAUGGGCGCAAGCCUGAUCCAGCAAUGCCGCGUGCAGGAUGAAGGCCUUCGGGUUGUAAACUGCUUUUGUACGGAACGAAAAAGCUCUCUCUAAUACAGGGGGUGAAUGACGGUACCGUAAGAAUAAGCACCGGCUAACUACGUGCCAGCAGCCGCGGUCAUACGUAGGGUGCAAGCGUUAAUCGGAAUUACUGGGCGUAAAGCGUGCGCAGGCGGUUUUGGAAGACAGAGGUGAAAUCCCCGGGCUCAACCUGGGAACUGCCUUUGCGACUGCAAAGCUGGAGUGCUGCAGAGGGAGAUGGAAUUCCGCGUGUAGCAGUGAAAUGCGUAGAUAUGCGGAUGAACACCGAUGGCGAAGGCAAUCCCCUGGGCCUGCACUGACGCUCAUGCACGAAAGCGUGGGGAGCAAACA